rnacentral:rRNA from 1 species
GGUUAAAAAGCUCGUAGUUGGAUUUCUGUCGAGGGCGGCCGGUCCGCACUAUGUGCGUGUAUCUGGUUCGGUCUUGGCAUCCUCUUGGGGAUCGUUCGUGUGCUUGAUUGCAUGCGACGGAAUUCAAGUCUUUUACUUUGAGGAAAUUAGAGUGUUCACGGCAAGCUAUCGCUUUGAAUACAUUAGCAUGGAAUAAUAAUAUAGGGCGUAAGUUCUAUCUUGUUGGUUCAUAGAAAAUACGCAAUGAUUAAUAGGGAUAAUUGGGGGCACUCGUAUUAACGCGUCAGAGGUGGAAUUCUUAGAUUGCGUUACGACGAACUACUGCGAAAGCAUUUGCCAAGGAUGUUUUCGUUGAUCAAGAACGAAAGUAUGGGGAUCGAAGACGAUUAGAUACCGUCGUAGUCUAUACCAUAAACUAUGCCAACUAGAGAUUGGAGGUCGUUUUAUUUAUGACUCCUUCAGCACCUUAUGAGAAAUCAAAGUUUUUGGGUUCCGGGGGGAGUAUGGUCGCAAGGCUGAAACUUAAAGGAGUUGACGGAAAGGCACCACCAGGAGUGGAGCCUGC